rnacentral:rRNA from 1 species
GGUCCCAAAGUCAUGGUUAAGUGGGAAACGAUGUGGGAAGGCCCAGACAGCCAGGAUGUUGGCUUAGAAGCAGCCAUCAUUUAAAGAAAGCGUAAUAGCUCACUGGUCGAGUCGGCCUGCGCGGAAGAUGUAACGGGGCUAAACCAUGCACCGAAGCUGCGGCAGCGACACUGUGUGUUGUUGGGUAGGGGAGCGUUCUGUAAGCCUGUGAAGGUGUGUCGUGAGGCAUGCUGGAGGUAUCAGAAGUGCGAAUGCUGACAUAAGUAACGAUAAAGCGGGUGAAAAGCCCGCUCGCCGGAAGACCAAGGGUUCCUGUCCAACGUUAAUCGGGGCAGGGUGAGUCGACCCCUAAGGCGAGGCCGAAAGGCGUAGUCGAUGGGAAACGGGUUAAUAUUCCCGUACUUGGUGUUACUGCGAAGGGGGGACGGAGAAGGCUAUGUUGGCCGGGCGACGGUUGUCCCGGUUUAAGCGUGUAGGUGUGUGUUCCAGGUAAAUCCGGUUCACUUUAACACUGAGGCGUGACGACGAGGCACUACGGUGCUGAAGCAACAAAUGCCCUGCUUCCAGGAAAAGCCUCUAAGCAUCAGGUAACAUCAAAUCGUACCCCAAACCGACACAGGUGGUCAGGUAGAGAAUACCAAGGCGCUUGAGAGAACUCGGGUGAAGGAACUAGGCAAAAUGGUGCCGUAACUUCGGGAGAAGGCACGCUGACACGUAGGUGAAGUGAUUUACUCAUGGAGCUGAAGUCAGUCGAAGAUACCAGCUGGCUGCAACUGUUUAUUAAAAACACAGCACUGUGCAAACACGAAAGUGGACGUAUACGGUGUGACGCCUGCCCGGUGCCGGAAGGUUAAUUGAUGGGGUCAGCGCAAGCGAAGCUCCUGAUCGAAGCCCCGGUAAACGGCGGCCGUAACUAUAACGGUCCUAAGGUAGCGAAAUUCCUUGUCGGGUAAGUUCCGACCUGCACGAAUGGCGUAAUGAUGGCCAGGCUGUCUCCACCCGAGACUCAGUGAAAUUGAACUCGCUGUGAAGAUGCAGUGUACCCGCGGCAAGACGGAAAGACCCCGUGAACCUUUACUAUAGCUUGACACUGAACAUUGAGCCUUGAUGUGUAGGAUAGGUGGGAGGCUUUGAAGUGUGGACGCCAGUCUGCAUGGAGCCGACCUUGAAAUACCACCCUUUAAUGUUUGAUGUUCUAACGUGGACCCGUUACCCGGGUUGCGGACAGUGUCUGGUGGGUAGUUUGACUGGGGCGGUCUCCUCCUAAAGAGUAACGGAGGAGCACGAAGGUUGGCUAAUCCUGGUCGG